rnacentral:lncRNA from 1 species
CACACAGAUGCAAGGUCUCCUGAUGGCAGAAAACCUUAUAACCAGAGACGGGGUUUCUCCGUGUUAGCCAGGAUGGUCUCGAUCUCCUGACCUCGUGAUCCACCUGCCUUGGCCUCCCAAAGUGCUGGGAUUACAGGCGUGAGCCACCACGCCCGGCCCAUAAUCAACCUCAGCUGCCAACGCCAGAAUCAACCUCAGCUGCCAAAUGCUAGACUGAAAAAAGAAUGUAAACAGCUUGAUGGAGGGGAGGAUCCAGGUGCACCUGUGGUUUUGACAGCUUUUGCUGCUGCUUGAGGAGGAAACAGGUUGCCUGUUUGUUCUUCAAGAGCACUUCUGGCAUCCAGGUAUUAUGCAGGCAUGCACUGCCAGCUGUGAAAGAUGCCACUUCCUUGUCACUUCAGAGAAUGAUGCUUCUACAGAAGAUCCCUCUUGCUAUUUCAUUCAGGGAGCUCGGGAGAGGAAGACAAAAAGAAUCAAAUGCAAA